rnacentral:lncRNA from 1 species
AAGUUUUCUUCUGUCCCUAGUCUGUAUCCACUUGGAUAAUAAAUGCAAUCCGGAUAUCAACUGUGGACUGUAAACUGUUUCAAAAGUGAUCUGCACAUGCUAGCCCCAGCUGGGUCUGAAGUGGAAACUUAAGGUUUCUUUGGAAAGUCAGUAUGUCAACGAACAUUUCGCUGAAGCAAACACGUGAAAGGAUGCAUGACGUUAAGAAGGACCCAGCAGACAGUGGACAAUGCUGGAUGGUAUUGGUACGCCUUACCAUUGUUUAUUGGUCAUCUUUUGUCAGGACUCCAUAGAAAAACUUCUGGUGAUGUUCUGGUGGCUUCUUGCAGCUUCUGCAGACUCAGGCCGAUUGGCAGAGUGAUGUCGGCUGAUACAGUCUCAUGUGGAGUUUUGCUAAGACAGACUCACGUGCUGAAGCAAAACCCAUUGGAGGACACAUGAUGUUUGGAGGGAGUAUAAAUAGGAUCUAAUGGACAGUGACUGCGGGCUUGCAAGCUUUGUUGGUCUCUACUGAUCUUCACUUCAUUGAGAGAGGCACAAAGAACUUCUGGCGCCCCUGCUGGUCCUGGUUGCUCCUGCUGACUGAUGCUAAUUUGACUGAGGCUUGGCUGUUUCUGCCGGGUGGGGCCACCACUGAUGAUUCAUAUUUGAUAUCCUGACACUACUGAACUGGACUGCUAGUAUAUUCGUGAAGUGUUUAUGAGUGUAUCGAGCUCUGUUGACUCAUGUGCUAAUUUCCUGACAAUGCAGAUGGGAUUUGCUCCAAAGAACAAUUUCUAAACAAGUCCACUUCCCCUGUAUCCUAAUAACUUUCUUUUCCACUACCUCUGGUGGGUGGUGGGCUAGAAGGGAGGUUAAAGCAUUCAAGAACUUUUAUUUAAAACAGGUUUUAAAAAAUCGAAGCCUACAUGGGACAACAAACCAGAUGCUCCUAAUCAGUGCCCUAUUGCCCUAAUCCCCUUCCGGCCUUCUGCUAAUAUUCCAGCUUUCCUGGGCCCUGACGCCAUCCUAAUUUCAGCAGCUAAGUAGUUAAUCAAAUGCAUUGCCCCUUAUCCUCAUCAAAGGCUGGAAUGUUAAUCCAAAGGAAACUCCCUGGCAUAGAGGACAAGAUGGACACAAUUACUUAUGUAUAAUACCCACUGGCCUACCAGGCUCCCUCACUGUCAAAAGAUACCUGUUUAAAAAAAAAAUAGACCAAGAUCUAUCAGCAGGUUUGAUUAGCUAAAAUAUUUCUACAAUAUGAUAAGGCACUCUGUGGGAACUAAAGGGGGUAGGGGAAGGAGGGAAAGGGAGGAUAGCCUACAUCCCUCCAGAGUUCCUCCUAUGCUCUGGGCAGAUGGAUGCGGGAGGGCUGCCAGAUGCUUUCCACUUAGAUCCCCAGGUGGGCAUCUAAGCCACGGACCCCACUCGAUGGGGGGUAGACAAGGGGCAACCCCCUACCGGGAAACCCCCCCCCAGGCAACACCUUGUAGCCCCCAGGGUUAUAGGAGAGAGGGCUGAGGGAGAGAGGUUUCCACGCAGGCAAGAGUAAGCGCAGAGGGCCUUGAUGAACAGAGAUAGUCUAUGGUUUUAGAGCUAUAUUAUAGAAAGGCAGGGGGAAAGAGAGAAGGUAGAGAGAGAGGGGGGGAGACCAGCCAUGGCCAAGAGGAGGGGAGCGGGAGAGGGGGAAGGCUAGAUAGUAAGAAAGAGUAAGAGGGAGUAAGAGAGAGAGAGGAGAGGAGAUGAGAGUAAGGAGAGUAAGAGGAGUAAGAGAAUGAGGUGGGGCCAAGCAGCCCCUCUUAUGGUGGUGUGCUGUUAUCUUUACUGUAACUGGGAGGAGUCUUUCCUGAAGGUCAGAAGCUUGGGACAGCGUCUAUGUGACUGCUAGCCACGCCUCUCCUGUGGGGGCUGUGGAGGGCGGUAACUUCGACAGGAGCCUUGAAUCCAGGAGAUAUGAGAGAACUCCUUCUGUUCCACGUAGGUGAAUUAUCACCACCGGGUCCCGGGGUUCAGACCUCAGCUCGACUGGAGACCAGAUUGUCUGUGUAUAGCCCAAUGCCCCACAGCACUCCACCUGCUCUAUACAGAACAAAGAGGAUGAUUUUAAGAAUAAUUUAUUCUUCCUAUGCUAACCAGUCAGACAUAGAGACGCCCUAGGCAUAAUACAAAUUUUGUCUCUUUCCAAAUAGAAAAAGGUAAAAUACUUGGCUUCCAUUGACAUUAUCAGCCUAUACAACAGAUAUAAAUGAUCAUUCCCUGGCAAGGAUUUGAAAGGGGCACACAAGGCAAGGCAGAAAUGAUGGGCCAGCCAGACUCCAUCUUAAGGAGGGAAGACAUUUUGUUAUAAGGUCGGAAGAAGUUCACAUAGCAGGACAUUUGACCACAUUGUGAACCCCAAGAUUGUGAACUAGAAAAACCUUGUUGUGCUGUGGCUCAGCCCUAGGACACACCUUUAAUCCAAAAAGCUUUCUGUUAACAGGAUUAAAUAAAGUCAAUGAUAGGUCAAGAGGAACCCUAAGUCAAGAGGUGGAGUAAACACCCAACGCCCAGGGAUUGAACAUAAGGAUGUAGAAAGGAGGGUCUUUGAGUUAAAGGGUAUUUAAGACAGCAUGUGGUUGCUGGGAAUAGAACUCAAGACCUCCGGAAGAGCAGUCAGUGCUCUUAACCGCUGAGCCAUUUCUCCAGCCCCUGGGAUUUUGUUUUUAAAACAACAAGUUCAUUUCUUUUUGCUGCAAAAUUCGAGUCGACCGUGCUUUAACCUGUUUCAGGAAUUUGAAAUGCUCCCCACCCUGUAAAGUUUGACUCAGACCUUGAACAUACCCUGAGAAUGUAAGAUGUUCUGCCAAGUUCCUAUGUGACCAAAAUUCCACUAAAAAUACUCCCACCCUCUAAAACCCCUAGUG